rnacentral:lncRNA from 1 species
CCUAGAGGUAAUGGGAGGAGGUUGAUUUCUUCUACAAAGUAUAUGUAGACAGAAGUUAAGUGAACAAACUUGAAAUGAACUUUAAAAAGUUAAAACACACACAAUAAAUCACAGGAGGUAACUUCUUCUCCCAGGUAAAAGUCAGACCAUAACCCAACUCGACCCGCAGUGGAAAGUCACAUUACAUGAUUCAUCAACGAUGACUGUGUAAUUGUGCACAGGUCUAGAAAGGAACGGAUGCAAGUGCUCGAGCAGAACACAAACACGAACACUGUCACGUUCUCUUAACCAUCGGCAACAAUUAUGUUCACCACAUGCUUCCUCAUGUCCGUCCCUCAUGUGUUUGUGUCCAUGCUUGUGCCGAUGCCUACGACUUGAGCCAUCGGACGGAGAGGACGAUGUCAGAUGGGUGGGUGGAGGGAGUGGAGUGAAUGGCAGUGUUGCACAGGCAUGAUUUACUAAUGCAUAUUGGGAAGCACACAGUGGAUGAGGAUUAAUUGGCAAUCGAUGUGGCCUUGGCACCCACUUGCUUUCUGUCCCAGGAUAGAGUACAAGUACAGCACAGAGUAUAAAUUUAAGGGGGAUGUCUCUGUUAAUGAUUGUCCAAUUUUCACUAAAA